CCCUCGCCGCCCACGGUGCCCUGGUGACCCCGCGAGCGUCCCGGUGCCACCGGCCGCUGGGCUCUGGGGACCAUGGGGCGCCUCGGGGCACCUCGGGGCGCCUCGGCGUGCCUUGGGGCGCUGGCGGCCCCCUCCCACCGCCGCUGCGGGGGGCCGCGUGCCGCUCGCUGCCGUGGUGGGCGGCGAGGAGCGGCUGGGCGACGCUGGAGCCCGACAGUGCCACGGGCGCGUCGUGGCCGCGCCGCGGGCUUGGGGGUGGCCAGCGGGUGCUCUGCAGCUCGGUUGGACCCCGCUCCUUCCUCCCCAAGCCCCCCCGCGGCCGCAGCCCUCCUCUUCCUCUGCCCCGAUGAUCGAGAACCUCCCCAGCGCCUCGACAGGGCCCUUGGCGCCGGGGAAUCGUUGGCGCUAUGGCGGCAGCGCCGGCGGGCUCAGGCCACCAAAUUUUGGGUUUUGGGAAAAAGCAGGCUGUCAAAUCUCAGGUUUUUGGUCGGAGCAGGCCGCCGAAUUUUGGGUUUUCGGAAGGAGCGGGCUGCCAAAUUUCGGGCUUUGAAGGGGUUACGGCGGCCAUGGCGUCGCGCCGAGCUUUUGCGGGCACUUCGGCGCGGGGCUUGGCGUCUCCGCACGUGCCGGCCAAAGCCGCUUUCCUCGGCAGCCUCUGCGAGGAAAUCUCCCGAAAUCUCGGUGAAAUCGGGGCUGCCGGGGGCCGUGGGGCGAAACUGCCUCGGUUUCCCUUCGGCGCGUGCCCGCGGUUGUUCCUGCCGCUGCGAGCGGCCGCGGUGGCUCUGGAGAGAAGGAAGGGUCGCGUCCGCCCGCAGCGGGAGCUCUCCGGCUCCUGCGGUGAUUUCCGAGGGCAAAGUUUGGCCAAGAAAUCGUUUGCGGGGUCGGGACCAGCGCCGGUGUUUGGCUUUUCCCCGGGCGCCACCGAGGGCCCCCGGUGCCGCCCGGCGCCUUCCUCCUCCCGGCUCCCUCCGAGCCCGCCUGGCCUCGCGCUCCCAGGCGAAGUCUGGAAAUGAUUUGGAGCGAGACGCGAGCGAACGCGGCGCUGGGAGGAGGGAAGGAGGGAGGGAAGGAAGGAGCGGGCGCGCGGCCGCCGGGCUCCCGCCGCGGACAGAGCGGGGCCAGCACGCGGCGCCGGCUGCCCAGGGAGCCGGUGAAUCGCGGUGACAUGGGGCUGGAUCGCGCGGGGCGGCGAGAGCCGGG
rnacentral:lncRNA from 1 species